GCUGGGUGCAGUGGCGCACACCUAUAAUCCCAGUGGCUGUGGAGGCUGAGGCAGGAGGAUCGCGAGUUCAAAGCCAGCCUCAGCAACAGCAAAGCCCUAAGCAACUCAGUGAGACCCUGUCUUUA
rnacentral:sRNA from 1 species